UACGUAGGGUGCAAGCGUUAUCCGGAAUUAUUGGGCGUAAAGAGCUCGUAGGCGGUUUGUCGCGUCUGCCGUGAAAGUCCGGGGCUCAACUCCGGAUCUGCGGUGGGUACGGGCAGACUAGGGUGCAGUAGGGGAGACUGGAAUUCCUGGUGUAGCGGUGAAAUGCGCAGAUAUCAGGAGGAACACCGAUGGCGAAGGCAGGUCUCUGGGCUGUAACUGACGCUGAGGAGCGAAAGCAUGGGAGCG
rnacentral:rRNA from 1 species